ncrna:unclassified sequences skipping-rope RNA
GAUUAUUGAAGUAGAGACUGUGUUGUUACACACCCCUUGGGUCAAAAGAAAUGUGGGAAAGGGCACACCUACCAAUAAUU